rnacentral:tRNA from 1 species
GGAAAAUCCGUCGACUUUAAAAUAAAAAGGGUUCAAGUCCCUCUAUCCC